rnacentral:rRNA from 1 species
CAAUAGCGUAUAUUGAAGUUGUUGCGGUUAAAAAGCUCGUCGUUGGAUUUUUGUUGAGGUCGAACAGUGCCGCCCUAUGGGUGCGCAACUGGCUCGGCUUCGGCAUCUUCUUGGAGAGCGCAUCUGCACUUAACUGUGUGGAUCGUACUUCAAGUCAGUUACUUUGAGGAAUUGUGAGUGUUUCAAGCAGGCUUACGCCGUUGAAUCCGUUAGCAUGGAAUAAUAGGAUAGGACCUCGGUUCUAUUUUGUUGGUUUUGAGAGCUGGGGCAGCGAUUGAUAGGGACGGAUGGGGGCGUCCGAACUUUACUGUCAGAGGUGAAAUUCUUAGAUCGGUCAAAGGCGAACUACUGCGAACGCAUUCGCCAAGAAUGUUUNCUUUA